rnacentral:pre_miRNA from 1 species
AACAUCAUUGAGUGCAGCGUUGAUGUGAUUUCGUUUUUUCAUUCUUUCAUUCUAUUAUUGAAUGGAUUGGAUUAAAGCAAUUUACACCAGCGUUGCGCUCAAUUAUGUU